rnacentral:lncRNA from 1 species
ACAAGAGGCCGAAAAACUCUCUCUCAAAGGAUUGUUAAGGGCGUGGAAAGAAGAAUAUGCCUCUUCCUAUAUUCCUAGAUGAAAGAAAUUUCCUUUAACAAUAUGCAUGACCGACAGGUUUUCUUUAAAGAUGUUACAUUAGGUAACUUCGCCUGACGCACAUUCAAUACAUCCAAAAAAACCUCCAUAUGUAUGUUAUUACAAGCGCAAG